GAGGUUGUGGCUCAGUAGUAGAGCACUCAACUAGCACAGGUGAGGCACUGGGAUCAAUUCCCAGCACCACA
rnacentral:tRNA from 1 species